ensembl:rRNA 5S_rRNA 5S ribosomal RNA
GUCUACGGCCAUGACACCCAGAACAGGUCCGAUCUUGUCUGAUCUCGAAAGCUAAACAGGGUCGUGCCUGGUUAGUAUUUGGAUGGGAGACCACCUAGGAAUACCAGGUGUUGUAGCUC